UAAAAAGAAGGAUAAAAUAGUCUACAGACCGACAUGGGUAUGAAAUUUCAUUGCAUCUUCCUCCGAACUGACUAUUAUAUAAAGCUAAAGCGCUUCAGUUUGCAAUUUGUGAGUUUGUUGGAAAUGAGACCAUUAAAAUCAGUUGUUGAACUCCCUCCUCCGGUUAUGGCUCCGCCGCCGCCUGAAUCAGUAGUUGAAGUUCCUCCUGAAUUGCCGAUGCUAGUCGCAGAGUUCUGCUUGACAGCCGCUUUUGAAAUCGCCAUCCGAUCGAACCAGACUCCUACACAAUACUACUCUAUAACAUUCCACUUGGUGUGUCUGGUAAUGGUGUUUGCGUUUGCUUUUAUCUUUGUUGCCAAAUACAUUUCUUCCAAGCACCCGAACCCAGGCCGCGUGCUCGAGCACGCUGGAGUAGUCUGUGGAGUUACCGCUUUCUUUGUUGCCAUCACAGUCUCUUUCCCGCUCUGCCUCAAGGUCAUUUCCUGGAUCGUAUAUGCUCUUUCAUUACUAGCAAUUUUCGUCUGCAAUUGCUGAAUCCUAGCAGACGAUUGUCACUGUCAGUCAGGGAUUGGAAAUAAGCAAAGAAGCAUGGAAUGGAAUAACAGAUACAUCUCUCGUUGAUAACAUCUAAAGUAACUUCAAAAGCCUGAUAAGUGAUGAUCGCUUGGCUAGUUGGGAUGAUCUUCGGUGCUAUUGCUGGAAUAGGACAACCAACUUCAGUGGAUAAUUAUACUUGAUUGACUGGCAUAAGCAAAUAAUAUGAAGUACCAAGCUACUUAAAAGAAUACUUGCAUGUUGGAGGCGGUGAAGCUGUAAUAUCUAUUCAGACAGUUCUCGCAUCCUAAUCAUCUCUAGCAUGUGAGUGAUUUUAUCUGUACAUUAUCCACUUAUUAUAUAAAUGAAUUCAAAUUUCCAGUUGCAGGAUGUUGAUAAAUGAAACACUGUCAAUGGCAGAUCUUUGAACUUAUCAACAACAACAAAAAUGGUAGAUCCUUCAACUUAUACUAAUAUGAUGAACAAAAUAUUCCAGUUCAGAUUCAGUUACUAUAUGCUGAUAUGCCAAUAGCUAGGGACUUCAGUUUGCUUAUUUAGAGGCUUAUUACCAUUGACUUUACUGCUUUGUGUGCUAUUUAAAUUAUUGAAAAGCCUUGUUUUUAGUAUAACUCUGUUGGGUUCUAUGUCAGUUUCAUUGCUGACAUGAACAAUUAAGAUUAUUGGACAAUGUGUUACUCUCAACGUAGCUAGAGUUCUAACCAGCUGAAGCUAGCAGAUGCUAAUUUUUAUUUCGAAUCAGCUUGAGGAUGGUCGGACUGUGGCAAUGCAUUUUUCUAUUGGUUAAAUGGUGGAUCAUCAAUCUUACAUGACAAUAAUAUUCUCUGUUGUAGGCAAUGUGAUGUUAGUUGGCCUUUCUAACAUAAAUUCUUCAGCUAAUUAAGGCGCAUUGAUGACUAAAGGAAAUUGUUUGCUAGUGAAGAUCCAGUCAUCCUCUGAUCAGCCACUGAUAUGUUGCUUGGGUAUUUUUUAUAUUAACAUCAACAGUUAGGAGUGAACAAGGAUACAUUUCAUUUGUAUGACAAUUUGGCAAUUUGAAAUAUACUCGUAUAAUCAUAUUACUGUGCAAGGGAUGUUUAUCUCUGACUUAUGAAUAGGAAUUUUCUGGCCCACACAACUCUCUCAAUUGAUUUGUACCCAAAGUUGACAUCCUCUUACUUUUGUUUCACAUCGUCUUUCCUACAAACCUGCCCUGUUUGUCGUUAUGAAUUGCCAACAGAUGAUCCUGCUUAUGAGCGGAGGAGGACCCAAAGAGCUGGUCAUGUUGAUUGAAGUAUCCUAAGUCUGGCAGAGGUCUACAGUGCCCAUGUCCAAGUAUACAUCUCUCGAAUUUGAUUCAGUUAUGCAACUUUACUAGUGUUGGAAAACUUUCUUACAUGUGAACUUUUGAAGAGAAGAUUGGUUGUAUGCUUCUCUUCACUUCUUGUCAAUUUUAAAUCUUAUUAUGUUCUCUAAUGAGACUUAGUGCACUGGAUUUUAAUUUGUGGGUUGCAGGCUCACUUGGCCCCUAGUGGUUACCUUAAACUACCAACUGUACGUACAUUAUCUCUUGAUGAAACCUGGCCUUAAUGUUGAAUCAAGUCUUUAAACUUGUUUAAAUGGGUUAGGUGUUCAAGAUUUUGGCCUUUUCCAUAUAUUUUUUUAAUCAUAAAGAAAAUAAUUUGGAAGCAUGAGAUUUUAUUUUUAGUUCCUUUAUCUUUUUCCAAUAACUGACGCUUUGAGCUCUAGUUUUGGUUCUUUCGCUCAAGGCAUCUUUCUUCUUAUUUGCCAAAAUGUUGUGUGACUUUUUCCUACUUUGGAGCUUCAUUUGUUCCAUGUUUUAUAGAAAGUCUUAUUUUUCUCUUUACUAUUGGAUGGAGUGGGAAUUUCUUGCCAAACAACUUGCAAGUUUAGGUGCUAAGCUUAUCAUUUCUGCUCGAAAUAAAGCUGAAUUAGAGAGAGUCAAGAAACAGCUUUCUGGGAAGACACCUGCACCAGGUCAGGCCGUAUUCUCUGCUUCUAAAUUUGCUCUAAUUGGGCACUUUCACACUCUGCGUUCUGAGGUGCAAGCUUGGAUUUAAGGAACAUAUAUCUCCAUGGCAACAAACUAGAACUCAACUGGUACCUUGUACAGUGGUGAACACCAACAUUGUAGGUUUUGACUUUACUAGCAUUCUAUUUGGAUUGUAAUUUUUUCAUAAAAGAACUUUUUCCAAGUUUUUAGUUGUAAUAACGUUUACAUAUGGCUCCAAUUUUGCGACUCAAAUGGAAUGCUUGAUUAUAUUACAAUGUUAUAC